AUAUACUACCCAAAAAAAAAAAAAAAAUUGGAGUGAUACAGAGAUUAGGAUGUCCUCUACACAAGGAUGACAUCCAAAUUUGUGAAGCGUUCCAUUAAAAG
rnacentral:snRNA from 13 species